GACAUAUGGGGCAAGCGUUAUUCGGAAUUACUAGGCGUAAAGCGCGUGUAGGUGGGUGCGCAAGUCUGCCGUAAAAUCUCCCGGCUUAACUGGGAGGGGUCGGCGGAUACUGCGUGUCUAGAGUUGGGUAGGGGGUACCGGAAUUCCUGGUGUAGCGGUGAAAUGCGUAGAUAUCAGGAGGAACACCGAUGGCGAAAGCAGGUACCUGGGCCUUGACUGACACUGAGACGCGAAAGCUGGGGUAGCAAACAGG
rnacentral:rRNA from 1 species